rnacentral:rRNA from 1 species
GAUGAACGCUGGCGGCGUGCCUAAUACAUGCAAGUCGAGCGAACGGACGAGAAGCUUGCUUCUCUGAUGUUAGCGGCGGACGGGUGAGUAACACGUGGAUAACCUCCCUUUAAAACGGGAAAAACUUCGGGAACCCGGAGCUAAUACCGAAAAAUAUUUUAAACCGCAGGUUUAAAAGUUGAAAAACGUUCUUCCUGUCACUUAUAGAUGAAUCCGCGCUGCAUUAGCUAGUUGGUAAGGUAACGGCUUACCAAGGCAACGAUGCAUAGCCGACCUGAGAGGGUGAUCGGCCACACUGGAACUGAGACACGGUCCAGACUCCUACGGGAGGCAGCAGUAGGGAAUCUUCCGCAAUGGGCGAAAGCCUGACGGAGCAACGCCGCGUGAGUGAUGAAGGUCUUCGGAUCGUAAAACUCUGUUAUUAGGGAAGAACAUAUGUGUAAGUAACUGUGCACAUCUUGACGGUACCUAAUCAGAAAGCCACGGCUAACUACGUG